rnacentral:snRNA from 1 species
GUGCUCAGUUUGGCAGCACAUAUACUAAAAUUGGAAUGAUACAGAGAAGAUUAGCAUGGCCCCUGUGCAAGGAUGACAUGCAAAUUUGUGAAGCAUUCCAUAUUUUU